UACGUAGGGUGCAAGCGUUGUCCGGAAUUAUUGGGCGUAAAGAGCUCGUAGGCGGCCUGUCGCGUCGGCUGUGAAAACCCGGGGCUCAACCCCGGGCCUGCAGUCGAUACGGGCAGGCUAGAGUUCGGCAGGGGAGACUGGAAUUCCUGGUGUAGCGGUGAAAUGCGCAGAUAUCAGGAGGAACACCGGUGGCGAAGGCGGGUCUCUGGGCCGAUACUGACGCUGAGGAGCGAAAGCAUGGGGAGCGAACAGG
rnacentral:rRNA from 1 species